CUCCUCCACAGCUCCGGGAGGAACCCAAUCCAACGGUAGAGCGCGCUUGACAGACAAGCAAAGCGACCAAUGACAAUAGAGCAGCCUGAUCACUGAAGAUGCAUUAGCGCGAGAGGUGAGGGUGACAGACAGCGGGAAGAGCGUAUGGUCUGCGAACAGCGCAGGGGCGCUGGAGCCGCGCGAGCCAAUGAAAUAAAUGAAAUUCACAGGAACUAUUGAAUAUAUUGACAAAGCAAGAGCCAAUAUAACAGGAGCGGGGCUUUAUGCCAACAUUAGGCCCUGAUUGAAGCCAGUAGUUUCGUAUUCACGCCGGAAGUAAUGAGCUGUGAUUCUAAAUGGAGACAAAGAUCAACAUUGAGACAUUUGUUGAAACUUGCAACAAGAUCAAGCUGCUGUGAACCGCCAUGUUUGGUACAACUUUCUGAUAAGCAACCAUUUAAAAGGGGUUUGUGAGUUGUAAUAGUGACUUUAUUAAUCGUUAUUAACCAUUUACUAAAUUGAACAAUUAUAAGCCUGUAAAGGGGUACUUUAGUAGGUUUGUAGUGCAUUUCCUUAAAGUUAGGGGACUAACAAGAGAAACAAAAGGCAGAAGUCAAAAUUGUAGCAACAGAGGCUGAGAUAUUCUACCAUAUAGUCCCUAGUAUGGGAUGCUUGAAUUGUCUUUUUUUAGCUCUUCAGAAGGACUCCUCUGGUUUGACCUCAGCUCUAAUGGAAAAGCUUCAGAGCAUCUGGACCAAAAUUCAAACAUUCAAGCAUUUACAAUGAAUAUUGUAAUAAAGAUUUAUGAAUGGCAUACUAACAUUUAUAAUGGCUUAGAGAGGAACUCUUGACUCUUGAUGAUAAACUUUUCACAACCUGGCAA